rnacentral:lncRNA from 1 species
GUUUAUUACAGGAUAUUGAGUAUAGUUCCCUGUGCUAUACAGUAGGACUCUGUUGUGUAUCCAAGUUAUAUAUUAUCUCAAACUCCUAAUAUCUCCCUCCCUCAUCCCCUUUCCCCUUUGGUUACUGUAAGUUUGUUUCCUGUCUGUGAAUUUGUUUCCGUUUGGUAAACAGGUUCAUUUGUGUCAUAUUUUAGAUCCUACAAAUAAGUGAUAUCAAUAGUAUUUGUCUUUCUCUUUCUGACUUACUCCACUUAGUAUGAUAAUGUCUAGGUCCACUCAUGUUGCUGCAAAUAUAUUAUGUGAUAUAUACAGAUAUAUUACAUCUUCUCUGUCCAGUCCCCUGUUGGUGGACAUGGAGGUUGCUUCCAUGUCUUGGCUAUUGUAAAUAGUGCUUGCAGUGAACAUUGAGAUGCAUGUAUCAUUUCAAAUUAGCAUUUUCUGGAUAUAUGUCCAGGAGUGGGAUUGCUAGAUCCUAUGGCAAUGUUAUUUUUAGUGUUUUAAGGAACCCUCCAUCCUGUUCUCUAUAGUGGCCACACCAAUUUACAUUCCUGCCAGCAGUGUAGAAGGAUUGCCUUUUCUCCCCACCCUCUCCAGCAUUUGUUUGUAGACUUUUUAAUGACGUUAAGGAGAAUUUCUUUGGCCUGACCUCUCCAUCUUUCCCCUCCUCUAUCGCUGCACCUCUCAAGGCACUCAAGGCCCAACUUACCCCAGACUUCCUCCCUCCCGGAAGGGUCUCCUGACCUCUCCAGCCUCAUAGCCCGCUCGCACUGACCUCCAACCAGCCUGCUGCAAAGCUCUAGGCUCACAUUUAGGGCGUUCCUGCCUCCUGUCAGUCACCGAGGCUGGUAAGUGCUCCCACAUGCCCACUCCCUGAAAGACAGACGAGGCAACCCCAUUGAAAGGGAAGACACAGGCUCAGCGAGGUUCCGUAACGUCCCCCAGAUUACCUAGCUGGUUAGUGAAAUAACCGAGACUUAAAUUCAAGACUGACAACCGACCUCAAAACCUUUGCUCUAAACCAGGAGCCAGCAAACUAUACGGGCCUGAAGGCCAAAUUCUGCCACUAUCUGUUUUUCUACAGCUUGAGAGCUAAAAAUGGUUUUCACAUGACCGGGGGCGGGGGGGGAUCAAAAGAAACAUAAGAUUUUGGCACAUGUGAAAAUCACAGGAAACUAACAUUUCAGUGUCCAUUAAUAACGUUUUAUUGGACAUGGUGGUGUGGUGGUUGUUUUCAUCAUGGCAUGCAGCAGCUUGAUGUGGGAUCUCAGUUCCCAGACCAGGGAUUGAACCCAGGCUGCAGCGGUAAAAGCACUGAGUCCUAACCACUAGACCACCAGGGAACUCCCUUAAUAAAGUUUUCUUGGCGCACACCAACACCCAUUCAUUUAGAUCUCUUUGAUGGCUUUUUCUUGAACUACAGUGGCAGAGCUGAGUCGUAGUGACAGGGACCAGCCUACAAGGGUUCCCAUUUGGCCCUUCACAGAAGACCUUUGCCGACCCCUGCUCCGAAAGGCACCAUUGAUGAGCCACAGCUCCACGGAGUUCUGAACACCCUGCCUGCCUUGACAGGCUGCUGUCUUUCUCUGGGUGCUGAGCCCACUGUAGGAUCUCAGAGGGAAAACAAAAUAGAUUUUAGCCCCCUUUGGACUUCCAGGUACUAAAGAUGUGCACCAGAAGUUCCCGUCGUGGCACAGCGGAAACGACCCCGACUAGGAACCGUGAGGUUGUGGGUUCGAUCCCUGGCCUUGUUCAAAAGGGCUUUGUUGUUCACUUUUUAGAAAUGAUAUGCUAUAGAGGGUUUAGCAAGCAGAGAGUUAUGUUGUCCAUAACUUAUUAUGGCUAAUGUUACUUCUACACUAAUCUUGCCUUUUUUUGUUGAGGGGAAGUGGGAGAGGAGAGGCCGAGAGGAGGAGAAAUACUCGAAGUGCUACAGCAGUAGUUUUCAGACUUCGCCUCCCGGGUCAGGGUUGGGGCCUGAGAAUCUGCAUUUCGCACAGAGUCCCAGGCGGCACCCCUCUGAGGACUCCUCCACUCUGUCAAAAGGCCUAGAAGACCACUGGGCAGCUAUAGGAGGUGGGGCCAGGGCUUCCUUGCCUGAGGGGGGGGCAGGGGGAGCACGGAAAGUUCUUACUGUCCCAGCAGACCCGUUUCUUGAAGGAAGGGACAGGCUCCCAGGACCCCAGGGAUCAGCCUGGUUGGCCCCAGACCCAGAAUGUAUGGGGGUGAAGGCCUAGUCAAAGGCUCCCCCCACCCCACCCCCCUCAGAGAGGGGACUGAGGCUGGAAAGGCGGGGAAGGGCUGGGUUUCCCCAGAUCAAAGCUGGUUCCCCAGCCUUUGAUUCGCAAACAAGCAGACUCUUUAGAGGCUGGCCCGGAGUUUGGGGCAGGCUGGCCUUGGGGCCUGGGGUGAGUGGUCAGAGGCCCCCAGCCCGCUCUCUUUUUGCAUAACAGCUUGGCUGUCUAACAAAAGGACAGUCCUUGAAAGGCCGUAUGGGGCUGUUAAAAGCUUCCGGCAAUGGUUUAAUUGGGGGCGAUUAAAGUGUCCACCCCAGGAAGGCCUGCCCUUCAAAGGCCAACCAGGCCUGGCUCCCCUGCCCUCAGCACCUCUCCCCUCGGCCACGCCCCCGGUGGUAGCCCUGCCCCCAGCCUCUCCCCUCCGCCCCCUCAGCUACCCUGUGGCUCCCUGCCGACUGAGGAAGUCAGGGACAGGGACCCUUUGGCCAGCCUGUCUGGGGGGAUUCCGUCCUGGCCCCUGGACCAUCAGGACCAUUUGUUCGCACAGUUUGGUCUCGUGGCUGAGUCAGUGUGGGAGGUGGGGAAGGCUGAGUCGGAGACAGAAAGGGCCCCAGACUGGUCCACCCGGCUCACUCUGGCUGCCUCAGGACACCUAGCCUGCCUGGUCUCUGGCCCCUCCUUGAGCUCCCUUACCAGCCCCUCUCCCCAAGGCCCUGGCCCAUCUGCAACUUCAUGGUCACCGUUGGGGGACCCACACAUUAAUCUUCCAGACAUGACCUGAGAGGUGCUGGGGACUCAGAGGUGACCAGACAGGAACCAUGACUCAUAAAGGUGCCGGAUAAGUGAACAGGCAGAAGCAACAGGGCGCAAUAUAGGUAAAAUGAGGUGAGCUAUAAGCAGGGCCCCUGCCUCUGGUGGGGCUCAGGGAGCAGAGGGGCAAGCAACAUGACCUUCUGGAAGCAACAGAGCCUACAGUGAGAACAGGGCCACUCAGUCUGGCUCAUUUGCCAACCAUGAUGGGAAGAGCUACACCACAGCUGGUUUCACUAAAAGACCUGACCCACCCAACCAGUUGGAGGAUCCUUGGAAGGGGAAGUGGGUAGAGGUUCCAUCAAGUCUCGAAAUCAUUGUUCUGUGGGUAUCUGGCUCAGACAACUCCCCAGAG